rfam:Trichomonas vaginalis G3, whole genome shotgun sequence.
GUAGUCUGCCGUACGCAGGAAGACCCGCUGAACUGAAGCAUCUCAUUAAGCGGAGGAAAAGAAACUAACUAGGAUUCCCUUAGUAAAGGCGAUCGAAAAGGGAACAGCCCAACGUCUUAAUCCCGCAAGGGAAAUGUAGUCGGUUCACCUAUUGCACUGGUCUAAGUCAGAUGGAAUGCUGCGCGAUUCAGAGUAAAAGCCUCGUAUGACCAACCGCAAGCUUACGAUGGACCGGGGAGAGUCGGAUACUUUGA